UUGACCUCGGAUCAGGUAGGGAUACCCGCUGAACUUAAGCAUAUCAAUAAGCGGAGGAAAAGAAACCAACAGGGAUUGCCCUAGUAACGGCGAGUGAAGCGGCAACAGCUCAAAUUUGAAAUCUGUCUCUUUUAGAGUCCGAGUUGUAAUUUGCAGAGGGCGCUUUGGCGUUGGCAGCGGUCCAAGUUCUUUGGAACAGGACGUCACAGAGGGUGAGAAUCCCGUACGUGGUCGCUGGCCUUCGCCGUGUAAAGCCCCUUCGACGAGUCGAGUUGUUUGGGAAUGCAGCUCUAAAUGGGAGGUAAAUUUCUUCUAAAGCUAAAUACUGGCCAGAGACCGAUAGCGCACAAGUAGAGUGAUCGAAAGAUGAAAAGCACUUUGGAAAGAGAGUCAAAUAGCACGUGAAAUUGUUGAAAGGGAAGCGCUUGCAGCCAGACUUAUCUGUAGUUGCUUAUCUGGACUUUUGUCCAGUGCACUCUUCUAUAGGUAGGCCAGCAUCAGUUUAGGCGGUUGGAUAAAGGUCUCUGUCACGUACCUCUCUUCGGGGAGGCCUUAUAGGGGAGACGUCAUGCAACCAGCCUGGACUGAGGUCCGCGCAUCUGCUAGGAUGCUGGCGUAAUGGCUGUAAGCGGC
rnacentral:rRNA from 1 species